AACGAACGCUGGCGGCAGGCCUAACACAUGCAAGUCGAGCGCCCCGCAAGGGGAGCGGCGGACGGGUGAGUAACACGUGGGAAUUUUCCUCAAGGUACGGAACAACUCAGGGAAACUUGGGCUAAUACCGUAUGAUGCAGAGAUGCCAAAGAUUUAUCGCCUUGGGAUAAGCCCGCGUCAGAUUAGGUAGUUGGUGGGGUAAUGGCCUACCAAGCCUGUGAUCUGUAGCUGGUCUGAGAGGACGAUCAGCCACAUUGGGACUGAGACACGGCCCAAACUCCUACGGGAGGCAGCAGUGGGGAAUCUUGCGCAAUGGACGAAAGUCUGACGCAGCCAUGCCGCGUGAAUGAUGAAGGUCUUAGGAUUGUAAAGUUCUUUAGCCUGUGACGAUGAUGACGGUAACAGGAGAAUAAGCCCCGGCUAACUUCGUGCCAGCAGCCGCCGCAG
rnacentral:rRNA from 1 species